rnacentral:rRNA from 1 species
CGGGUGAGUAACGCGUGGGCAACCUGCCUUACACAGGGGGAUAACAAUUAGAAAUGAUUGCUAAUACCGCAUAAGACCACAGCAUUGCAUGAUGCAGUGGUAAAAACUGAGGUGGUGUAAGAUGGGCCCGCGUCUGAUUAGGUAGUUGGUGGGGUAGAAGCCUACCAAGCCGACGAUCAGUAGCCGACCUGAGAGGGCGACCGGCCACAUUGGGACUGAGACACGGCCCAAACUCCUACGGGAGGCAGCAG